AGAGGGGCUACCCAGCAUGCCACAGUCCAGGAAGAGGGGGCUACCCAGCAUGCCACAGUCCAGGAAGGUGGGGACUACCCAGCAUGCCAGGGCCAAGGAAAGUGGGAACUACCCAGCGUGCCAGGGCCCAGGAAGAGGGGGACUACCCAGUGUGCCAGGGCCCAGGAAGAGGGGGCUACCCAGAAUGCCACGGUCCAGGAAGAGGGGGCUACCCAGUGUGCCAGGGCCAAGGAAAGUGGAAACUACCCAGCAUGCCACAGCCUGGGAAGGUGGGGACUACCCAGUGUGCCAGGGCCCAGGAAGGUGGAGACUACCCAGAAUGCCACGGUCCAGGAAGAGGGGCUACCCAGCAUGCCAAGGCCCUGGAAGGGUCUCCAUAGCCAGAGUGUCAUGGUCCCGAGGAGCAAUCUACGGAGAACCGCCGUCUUUAGGGCGACGCCGUUCCAGCCCCUCUGCUGUGCUGGAGUUAAUGACCGACCCAGGAAGUAUGUUCUCAUCACACAAGGAAGGGCCCGGUGCCCAGGUGGAGACACACACCCUUCACGUGUUUUCUGUCUGUUCUGUCGGUGGCCAGAGAGAGAAAGCCCAGCGUCAACCUCGCUGCUUUAAACAGGAGGCCCGGCAGACACACCAACGCUGACUGGCUUCCCACAGCUGUGUCUUUGGAGGAGUAGUGUUUAUUUUACUGGUUAAACUCCAGGAGUCCACACACACACACACACACACACACACGAAAAAGCUCCCUUAAUGUAUCUUUUUAUUUUUCCAAAGUUACUGUAUUACUCAGAUAUUUGCCACCAAAGUAA